rnacentral:rRNA from 1 species
ACUAGGAUUAGAUACCCUAUUAUUAAAAUUUAAAUUAAAAUACUAAAAUAGUAAAUAAUUAUUUAUUGAAACUUAAAUAAUUUGGCGGUAUUUUAGUUCAUUUAGAGGAAUCUGUUUAAUAAUUGAUAUUCCACGAGUAAAUUUACUUAAAUUAAAAUUUUGUAUAUCGUUGUUAAAAAAAUAUUUUAUAAAAAAAAAUUAAUAUUUUAAAAUUAUUAUAAAAUUUAAAUCAAAUCAAGAUGCAGAUUAUAUUUAAGAAUAUAAUGGAUUACAAUAAAAUUAUUUAAAUGAAUAUUAAUUUGUAAUAAUUAAUUGAAAGUGGAUUUAAAUGUAAUUUUAUUUAAUUUAAUAAAAUGAUUAAAAAUUAAAAUAUGUACACAUCGC